GCCAAGGCCAUGUGUUAGCAGAAAGUGUGUGAAGUCCUCCCUCAGGACUAGGUUGGGCUCCAUCUGCCCUUUAACCCCAGGGCAGAUCUUGCAGCCUUGCUGACUCUGCAUCAAGUCGCCGCCCUCUCCACGACUUGCCCAGGGCGGGAGGGAGCCGCUGCUUCCAUCCACUGCAUGGCUUCUGCGGAACCGAAGGCACUCACCGCCGCCCAUCUGCAGCAGCACGUCCGCGCCUCUGCACCACGGACUGUUCUUCUCCUCACCCCAGCGCUGGGGGCCAGUGUUGCUGCCCAUCCUGCCCCAACUUCACAACAGCCGGUGAAAGCUGCAGGAUGUGUGCUGUGUCUUCCAGGCUCACAUAUGGACACAUGUGUGGCUGAAGACUCGCUCCACAGGAGCAAAUGGGAAGGUCCAAAUUGGAAACUCUCAGAUCCACUUGUCGUCUGGUGCCCAGCUGCAUUAGGAUCCAUGCCUCUCUCGGCACCUGGACCUGCUGGAAGCCACUGACACAUGCUUCUCGCUGUCAUGAAAGAAUUAAAGACAACAUCUUGGACGGUCUCUGUACAUGGAAAAAUGAGAAUGUAUUCGCAGACAAAGCUUGACCUGAGGGAGAAGCCUGCCGGAAUCUGGAUUUUCAAUAACGGUCUCACUCUGGCCCAGUCUGACCUGGAACUCACACUGCAGUCUCUGGCUGGCCUCAAACUCAUGAUAAUCCUCCUACCCCUUCCUCCCAAGUGCUGGUAUGGCUCUGAUUCUUUACUUUAUAAAAAAUGAGUUUAGGGGCUGGAGGGAUGGCUUAGGUACUUGGCUGCACAGCCGUAGAACCCAUGUUCGAUUCUCCAGGACCCAUGUUAGCCAGAUGCACAAGGUGGCACAUGCAUCUGGAGUUCAUUUGCAGUGGCUACAGGCCCUGGUGUACCCUUUCUCUCUCUCUCUCUUUCAAAAAUAAAUAAUAAAUAAAAUGAGUUUAGGGCAGACAAUAAGAGCAGAGUAUUAACAUGUAUGAGGAGAUGCAGAAAGAUGGCAACUGGCAAACCAAGGAGAGAUGGCUCAGAAGAAGUAACCCAUCUUUGCCUUGAUGGAAGUCUCUUCCCUUCACAGUCCAUAUCCUGUUCAUAGUCCUCCAGCCUUUGUGACAGGUGGCAAAACAUUUGCAUAUUAGAAGCAAGAUAGUGGUAUGGCCAAGUCAGCCCCUGUCAGACCUGGACCUGCUUCUACCCAAGGCUAUUAUUAUGGUGACUUUGAACUGCUUACUCAUAGCAGUCAUCCAAGGAAAAGAGGUCUUAACUGUGAUUCAGGCUGGCACUCAAGGGACUCACUUUGCAGUUAAGAAAGAGGAAGUCCUGAAACCACCCAGACAAAGAGUCAUUCCCUGAAGAAGAUAUGAUGACGACAGACUUCUCAAUGAGACUAUGGAGGCAAGAAAGCAGUGGAACUGCGUCCUGAAAGAGCAUCUAGAAUUCUGUAAUCAGGGACAGUCCUGCUGGGACGAGGGGAAAUAUAGACAAUGCGAGUUUAAGGGAUUUAUUGCCAUCUGUGAUAAAUCUUGGGUAAAGUUCUUUGGAGGGCAAUUAUGCUAACUGGAAAUUUAGAUCUCAUGAGGCAAUGAAGUUUCUAAGCUGGGAAGAUGUAUACUAUUAUAAAAGACCUUUCAAAAAUGUUUUUAUUGAGGCUGGAGAGAUGGCUCAGCAGUUAAGGCUUAGGUUCAAUUCCUCAGUGCCCACAUGGAGUCAGAU